UGUACAAAUACCUAUGGACAAGAUCUGGU
rnacentral:piRNA from 1 species